GUCUACAGCCAUACCACCCUGAACAUGUCCAAUCUUGUCUGAUCUCAGAAGCUAAGCAGGGUUGAGUCUGGUUAGUACUCAGAUGGGAGAAACCUAGUACCUGUUGGCA
ensembl:rRNA 5S_rRNA 5S ribosomal RNA